rfam:Oryza sativa (indica cultivar-group) chromosome 3, whole genome shotgun sequence.
AAAAAGACAAAUCCUGAUUUCCGUGCCUAACGUUUGAACUGUUCGUCUUAUUUAAAAAAAUAUGAAUUUUUUUUUAAAAAAAUCACGCAUAAAAUAUUAAUCAUGUUUUAUCAUCUAACAACAAUAAAAAUACGAAUUAUAAAAAAAUUUCAUAUAAGACCAACAGUUAAAGUUGGAUAAGGAAAACCAGGCUUUGACUUUUU